CAACAUUCCACAUGAGCCCCGAAGGUUCAUCUUGCUGAUAUGCAUUCUGACCAUCAAGCAAUGGUAUUUUAUCAUUAUCUAUGUCUCCAUCUUCACUGUGGAUUACUUCUGGAAUAUUGCAUAUAUGCCUAUGGUUUAUCCUUUGCAUGACUUGCCAAUUCUUUUCUAAUUUUACAUCAUUGACAUAAAAUAUGUUGCUCCAAA
rnacentral:lncRNA from 1 species